rnacentral:rRNA from 1 species
AACGUAGGACACAAGCGUUAUCCGGAGUUACUGGGCGUAAAGGGCGUGUAGGCGGACGUGUAAGUCUAUUCUGAAAGCUCCUGGCUAAACUGGGAGAGGCGAAUGGAGACUGCAUAUCUAGAGUGAGGAAGAGGAAAGUGGAAUUCCGCGUGUAGUGGUGAAAUGCGUAGAGAUGCGGAGGAACACCAAAGGCGAAGGCAGUGUCCUGGGGAGUACCUGACGCUCAGGUGCGAAAGCCAGGGAGCGAACGGG